GAUUUUAUAUUCAAGAAUGAUUUUAGACUGCAAUUCUAAAGGUGUAUUUAUAUAUAAUACUAAGAUCU
rnacentral:tRNA from 1 species